ensembl:snRNA U6 U6 spliceosomal RNA
UUUAUAUUAUACAUAAAGUUAUAUAAAAUUGAAAUGAUACAGAGAAGAUUAGCAUGGCCUCUGAGCAGAGAUAACAUGAAAACUCAUGAAGCAUUUCAUAUUAUU